rnacentral:lncRNA from 1 species
UAAAACUCACGAGCUACCUUCUGGUCCGCCCGGACCGUCCAUAUCCUCCCGUCGUCUGAAGGGUACUUCAAGGUUAAGUGGGGAGUGGAGACUAUGGCUUCAAAGGCAUUUAAACAUGGUCGCCCCAAUAACACAUUAUAUGAAGUCUCUGCUUCCACCAACAAAAACCUUACCCUCAGCCCCUUAGCCCUCUUUUCCGUCCCCAAGCUCAUCCUAAGAUUAACAGAACCUCUUGUAUCCACCCG